rnacentral:rRNA from 1 species
AUCUCCUUUAAAUUUAAAGAAUUUGGCGGUGGUUUAGUCUAGUCAGAGGAAUUUGCUUUUUAAUCGAUAUGACGCGUAAGAUCUUACUUGUUUUUGUUGUUAGUUUGUAUACCAUCAUUAGCAGAUAAUUUUAAAAAAAUAAAUUAUUAUAAGUAAUUACUUAGGAAAAUUAGAUCAAGGUGCAGCUUAUGGAUAAGUUAAAGUGAGUUACAAUAAUAUUUAUUUAGACGAAAUAAGAUUGGCAGUUAUCUUAGGAAGGAGGAUUUGAUUGUAAUUUGAAAUUAAUAUAUUUAAAAGAUAUAAGGCUCUAAAUUGUGUACACAUCGCC